CUGGCAGAAACAGUGGUUACCAUGUUGGGAAACAUGCUUAUUGGUCUUUCGUCCAUUUUUACGUUCUGAGUUCAAAUUCCGCCAAGGUCAACUUUGCCUUUCAUCCUUUUGGGGUCGAUAAAUUAAGUACCAGUUACGCACUGGGUUCGAUCUAAUCGACUU